GCUAUCAACUCUAACCAAAUUUACACAUGCAAGUAUCCGCACUCCCGUGAGAAUGCCCUAACAGUUUCCUGACUGGAGACAAGGAGCUGGUAUCAGGCACAAAUUGGCCCACGACGCCUUGCUAAGCCACACCCCCAAGGGAAUUCAGCAGUGAUAAAUAUUAAGCUAUAAGUGAAAACUUGACUUAGUUAAUGUUAAGAGGGCCGGUAAAUCUCGUGCCAGCCACCGCGGUUAUACGAGGGACCCAAGUUGAUAGCCUUCGGCGUAAAGAGUGGUUAAGAGCGCCUAAACUAAAGCCAAACAACUUCAAAGCUGUUAUACGCGCAUGAAAACAUGAAACCCAAUUACGAAAGUGGCUUUAACCCCUGAUUCCACGAAAGCUGGGAUACAAACUGGGAUUAGAUACCCCACUAUGCCCUGCCCUAAACAUUGAUAACAAUUUACUUACUUAUCCGCCCGGGUACUACGAGCAUCAGCUUAAAACCCAAAGGACUUGGCGGUGCUUUAGAUCCACCUAGAGGAGCCUGUUCUAGAACCGAUAAUCCCCGUUAAACCUCACCUUUCCUUGUUUCAUCUGCCUAUAUACCGCCGUCGUCAGCUUACUCUAUGAGGAGCUUGUAGUAAGCACAACUGGCACAGCCUAAAACGCCAGGUCGAGGUGUAGCGAAUGGGAAGGGAAGAAAUGGGCUACAUUCAAUAACUAAUGAAUACGAAUAACAUUCUGAAAAAAUGUAUGAAGGAGGAUUUAGUAGUAAGCAGAGAAUAGAGUGCUCUGCUGAAACUGGCCCUGAAGCGCGUACACACCGCCCGUCACUCUCCCCGAGCUAAAUUUAACACAUUGCUAAUAAACAAACACUGUAAAGGGGAGGC
rnacentral:ncRNA from 1 species